rnacentral:rRNA from 1 species
UACGUAGGGCGCAAGCGUUAUCCGGAAUUAUUGGGCGUAAAGAGCUCGUAGGCGGUUUGUCGCGUCUGCCGUGAAAGUCCGGGGCUCAACUCCGGAUCUGCGGUGGGUACGGGCAGACUAGAGUGAUGUAGGGGGAGACUGGAAUUCCUGGUGUAGCGGUGAAAUGCGCAGAUAUCAGGAGGAACACCGAUGGCGAAGGCAGGUCUCUGGACAUUAACUGACGCUGAGGAGCGAAAGCGUGGGGAGCGAACAGG